rnacentral:rRNA from 1 species
AUUGAACGCUGGCGGCAGGCUUAAUACAUGCAAGUCAAGGGGGUAGCAAUACAACCGGCGCACGGGUGAGUAACGCGUACACAACAUACCAUAUACUGGGGUAUAGCUUUGGGAAACUGAAGGUAAUCCCCCAUAACAUUGCGAGAGGGCAUCUGAUUGCAAUUAAAGUUUCGGCGGUAUAUGAUUGGUGUGCGUUUGAUUAGCUAGUUGGUAGGGUAACGGCCUACCAAGGCGACGAUCAAUAGCUGGCGUGAGAGCGCGACCAGCCACACUGGAACUGAGACACGGUCCAGACUCCUACGGGAGGCAGCAGUAGGGAAUAUUGGACAAUGGAGGAAACUCUGAUCCAGCCAUGCCGCGUGAUAGAUGAAGGCCCUCUGGGUUGUAAAUAUCUUUUAUCUGGGACGAAAAAAGGGCUUUCUAGUCUCACUUGACGGUACCAGAGGAAUAAGCACCGGCUAACUCCGUGCCAGCAGCCGCGGUAAU